rnacentral:rRNA from 1 species
UACAGAGGGUGCAAGCGUUAAUCGGAAUUACUGGGCGUAAAGCGUGCGUAGACGGUUAUGUAAGUCAGGUGUGAAAGCCCCGGGCUCAACCUGGGAAUUGCAUUUGAGACUGCAUAGCUAGGGUGCGGAAGAGGGAAGCGGAAUUUCCGGUGUAGCGGUGAAAUGCGUAGAUGUCGGAAGGAACACCAGUGGCGAAAGCGGCUUCCUGGUCCAGCACCGACGUUCAGGCACGAAAGCGUGGGGAGCAAACAGG